UACGGGGGGGGCAAGCGUUGUUCGGAAUUACUGGGCGUAAAGGGCUCGUAGGCGGCCAACUAAGUCGGACGUGAAAUCCCUCGGCUUAACCGGGGAACUGCGUCCGAUACUGGAUGGCUUGAGAUUGGGAGAGGGAUGCGGAAUUCCAGGUGUAGCGGUGAAAUGCGUAGAUAUCAGGAAGAACACCGAUGGCGAAAGCAGCUCUCUGGGACGGUACUGACGCUGAGACGCGAAAGCGUGGGGAGCGAACAGG
rnacentral:rRNA from 1 species